UACAGAGGUCCCAAGCGUUGUUCGGAUUCACUGGGCGUAAAGGGUGCGUAGGCGGUCGGGUAAGUCUGAUGUGAAAUCUCCAGGCUUAACUUGGAAAUGGCAUCGGAUACUAUUCGGCUCGAGGAAUGGAGGGGAGACUGGAAUACUUGGUGUAGCAGUGAAAUGCGUAGAUAUCAAGUGGAACACCAGUGGCGAAGGCGAGUCUCUGGACAUUUCCUGACGCUGAGGCACGAAAGCCAGGGGAGCAAACGGG
rnacentral:rRNA from 1 species